GUCCCCUUCACAGGUAUUGCAGGUGGCACUACUGAUCUCUCAGUCACUAUGAAGUUUAUUUCAGUAGAGACCUUGAAAAACAAUGGAAGAGAGGCAAGCCUAAGAGGGAAAUCAAUAGGAGGCCUUGAAGGAGGGAAACUGGAGGAUGGACUUCUGUUUUUCCUUUCCAGAAGAACUAGAGGAGAAAACUGGUACAUUUGAGCAGGUAGUGAAACAUGAAAAUUUUACUUGCCGAACUCCUUAGGGACCUCUUGGGAGAAAUGUGGUUUGGUAAAAAUUAUAGAAAAAUAAUCAAUGAGAACUGAAGACCAACAUAUUGUCGCUUUGAUCUAAGUGGUUGAAAUGUAGAGUGCUUCUACUUUACAAAAAUUUUCAGUUGGAAAGAAUAUUAUCAGACUAGACUUAACAUGUAUGAGGGCAUUUGAGCAAGAAUUGAACCACAAACCCUGAACAAAAGCAUAAAGUAAAUGAUAUCUAAAAUCAAAACCAGCAUGCUUCAGUGCUUAGAGAUCAUGAUCAUUUCCAUAUUUUCCACGAAAGAACACACAAAGUGAUUAUAUUGAAAAGUAAUAAUACUUAAAAGAUUAAUUAAUUCUUUAAAGUUUAUGUGAGUGAGAUUUUUAUGUUUACAUUUUCUUAUUUUGUUUAUUUCUUUUUAAUUAGGUAGCUCAUCCAUACUUAGCAAGUCACAUGUUGAAAUAUCCUAUGAGAAGAGGGGAAACUUUCAGGAAAGUUUUGUAAGCAGAUAGGUAGGGUCUUCAGGGAUUUUAGGUACUCAACCAGAUUGAACAAUCUGCCUGUUUUACAGCUUUCUAUCUUACAGUUUUUUUUUUUUUUCAAGCCCUGCAUGGUAUAUGGAUAUCUACUUGGUUGAAACCACCCCCUGACAGACCCUGGCAACUUACACAUGUACACCAGUGAACUUUCUUCAUUACAUGCUAAAGUAUCCACCCUGGGAGGAGCUGUAGCUUCUUUAUAAUAG
rnacentral:lncRNA from 13 species